rnacentral:rRNA from 1 species
GAGUUUGAUCCUGGCUCAGAUUGAACGCUGGCGGCAGGCCUAACACAUGCAAGUCGAGCGGUAACAGGAAGAAAGCUUGCUUUCUUUGCUGACGAGCGGCGGACGGGUGAGUAAUGCCUGGGAAUAUACCCUGAUGUGGGGGAUAACUAUUGGAAACGAUAGCUAAUACCGCAUAAUCUCCGAUCUUUUACGAGAUGGGAGCAAAGAGGGGGACCUUCGGGCCUCUCGCGUCAGGAUUAGCCCAGGUGGGAUUAGCUAGUUGGUGGGGUAAUGGCUCACCAAGGCGACGAUCCCUAGCUGGUCUGAGAGGAUGAUCAGCCACACUGGAACUGAGACACGGUCCAGACUCCUACGGGAGGCAGCAGUGGGGAAUAUUGCACAAUGGGGGAAACCCUGAUGCAGCCAUGCCGCGUGUAUGAAGAAGGCCUUCGGGUUGUAAAGUACUUUCAGUUGUGAGGAAGGCAGUUAAGUUAAUAGCUUGGCUGUUUGACGUUAGCAACAGAAGAAGCACCGGCUAACUCCGUGCCAGCAGCCGCGGUAAUACGGAGGGUGCGAGCGUUAAUCGGAAUUACUGGGCGUAAAGCGCAUGCAGGCGGUCUGUUAAGCAAGAUGUGAAAGCCCGGGGCUCAACCUCGGAACAGCGUUUUGAACUGGCAGACUAGAGUCUUGUAGAGGGGGGUAGAAUUUCAGGUGUAGCGGUGAAAUGCGUAGAGAUCUGAAGGAAUACCGGUGGCGAAGGCGGCCCCCUGGACAAAGACUGACGCUCAGAUGCGAAAGCGUGGGGAGCAAGCAGGAUUAGAUACCCUGGUAGUCCACGCCGUAAACGAUGUCUACUUGAAGGUUGUGGCCUUGAGCCGUGGCUUUCGGAGCUAACGCGUUAAGUAGACCGCCUGGGGAGUACGGUCGCAAGAUUAAAACUCAAAUGAAUUGACGGGGGCCCGCACAAGCGGUGGAGCAUGUGGUUUAAUUCGAUGCAACGCGAAGGACCUUACCUACUCUUGACAUCCAGAAGAAUUCGCUAGAGAUAGCUUAGUGCCUUCGGGAACUCUGAGACAGGUGCUGCAUGCUGUCGUCAGCUCGUGUUGUGAAAUGUUGGCUAGGUCCCGCAGGAGCGCACCCGUAUUCCAUGUUUGCAGCCGUUAUGGUGGGAACUCCAGAACUGCGUGAUAACCGAAGAAGGGUGGUACGACGUUCGAGUUCCAUCUAUGUGG